AUAUAUAUAUAUAUAUAUACACUGGAGUUGUGAGAAGAAUUUGUAAUGUUAUUGUUAGCUUAAAAAUGAAUGCGCAGGUGAUUGAUGCUGCCCAAAUAAAUUGAUUUCCAAGUUACAAAUAGACAUCGGUGUAUAUAUAUGAUUUAGAAAAUAAUUUCUUUUUCUUACAUUCAAAUUUGCUUUGUUUGUAUAGAUUUUGAAUUAUUUAUUCACCCUUUGAUAUUUGAUAUAGUCAAUUAGCCGUAGGCUGUAUAAAAUUUUCUAGCUGUUUUUCCGAGGCAAAGAGACUAAUCUCUUCUCCAAUGCUUUUCCCUGAAAAUUGUUGCCCAUUGACUGCUUUAGUUUUCUUCUGGCAGUGGUAGUGGAAAGAUUCUGGUCCUGAUUAGUGCUUAUGUCGGGUUUCGUCCCUUCAUAUCUAGACUUUUGUUUUGUGUAUAUCCUUUGCCCUUACUGUAUGCAAAUCAUUUACCAGCUUGACAUUUUUUUAUUAACACUUGUAUGUUCAUCAAAUCGGAUGGCUUUUUUUUUGUUCAUAACCAAAUCAGCCUUUUAAAAACACACGUUUCUGAUUCUCAUAUCAUUACA
rnacentral:misc_RNA from 1 species